AGCACUCUGAAAAAGUUGGUAGAAACAUAUAAGAACCAAAUCGCAAAGGACAUGUGUUUUCUGAGAGACUUCAUGAAGAGACCCAUUUGGAGAAGAGAGGAUACCAGCCAAUAGUAGUCUGACGUGUAAGUGUGCCAUACUUUAGAUGAUUCUAGUUUCCUGGCCUUGAGUCUUCCAUCUCAGUCCAAAGACAUCAUAAAGCUUAGACAAGUUGUCUAUACUGUGGUCUACUUGAAUUCCUGAUGUGUAAAAACAUGAACAAAAUAAACGAUUGUUUCUUGCCACU
rnacentral:lncRNA from 1 species